rnacentral:rRNA from 1 species
UACGGAGGGAGCGAGCGUUGUUCGGAAUUACUGGGCGUAAAGCGUAUGUAGGCGGUUUUUUAAGACAGAUGUGAAAUCCCAGGGCUUAACCCUGGAACUGCAUUUGUGACUGGAAGACUCGAGUAUCGGAGAGGUUGGCGGAAUUCCCAGUGUAGCAGUGAAAUGCGCAGAUAUUUUGAGGAACACCGAUGGCGUAAGCAGCCAACUGGACGAUUACUGACGCUUAGAUACGAAAGUAUGGGGAGCAAACAGG